AAACGACUCUCGACAACGGAUAUCCCGGCUCUCGCAUCGAUGAAGAACGUAGCGAAAUGCGAUACUUGGUGUGAAUUGCAGAAUCCCGUGAACCAUCGAGUCUUUGAACGCAAGUUGCGCCCGAGGCCAUUUGGCUAAGGGCACGUCUGCCUGGGUGUCACGC
rnacentral:rRNA from 1 species